UCCAUAUCUAUUAUCCGACUUAAAUUCUUCUAUUUUUGAUUCAAUUCUUUUAUCUGAUGGCAUGCAUUUUUGUUCUUUUUUAUUUUUAUUUUUCAAGUUCUCCUUUAUCAACUACUUCUCAUUCAUCUUCGACUUCCCUCUCAGAAUCACCAUUCCUAGAACUAUCCAACUUAUUCCCAUAAAAACCUCCAUUUGAUCGAGCUGCCAAUUAUUUAGAUAACCGCCCAAUGUGAUUUUUG
rnacentral:lncRNA from 1 species